AGCGAACGCUGGCGGCAGGCCUAACACAUGCAAGUCGAACGAACUCUUCGGAGUUAGUGGCGGACGGGUGAGUAACACGUGGGAACGUGCCCUUAGGUUCGGAAUAACUCAGGGAAACUUGUGCUAAUACCGAAUGUGCCCUUCGGGGGAAAGAUUUAUCGCCUUUAGAGCGGCCCGCGUCUGAUUAGCUAGUUGGUGAGGUAAAGGCCCACCAAGGCGACGAUCAGUAGCUGGUCUGAGAGGAUGAUCAGCCACAUUGGGACUGAGACACGGCCCAAACUCCUACGGGAGGCAGCAGUGGGGAAUCUUGCGCAAUGGGCGAAAGCCUGACGCAGCCAUGCCGCGUGAAUGAUGAAGGUCUUAGGAUUGUAAAAUUCUUUCACCGGGGACGAUAAUGACGGUACCCGGAGAAGAAGCCCCGGCUAACUUCGUG
rnacentral:rRNA from 1 species